UACGAAGGGGGCUAGCGUUGCUCGGAAUCACUGGGCGUAAAGGGUGCGUAGGCGGGUUUUUAAGUCAGGGGUGAAAUCCUGGAGCUCAACUCCAGAACUGCCUUUGAUACUGAGAAUCUUGAGUACGGGAGAGGUGAGUGGAACUGCGAGUGUAGAGGUGAAAUUCGUAGAUAUUCGCAAGAACACCAGUGGCGAAGGCGGCUCACUGGCCCGAUACUGACGCUGAGGCGCGAAAGCGUGGGGAGCAAACAGGG
rnacentral:rRNA from 1 species